UUUUUACAUUUUCAAAAAACAUAAUUUAGUGUGAUUUAUAAGCUGUUUUCCUCAUGGGGACCGACAAAAUGUCCCCACAAGGUCAAACAUUUCGGGUUUUACUAUCCUUAUGGGGACAUUUGGUCCCCACAAAGUGAUAAAUACACGCUCACACACACACACACACACACACACACACACACACACACACACACACACACACACACACACACACACACA